GGGUUGUGAGGUUAAGCGACUAAGCGUACACGGUGGAUGCCCUGGCAGUCAGAGGCGAUGAAGGACGUGCUAAUCUGCGAUAAGCGUCGGUAAGGUGAUAUGAACCGUUAUAACCGGCGAUUUCCGAAUGGGGAAACCCAGUGUGAUUCGUCACACUAUCAUUAACUGAAUCCAUAGGUUAAUGAGGCGAACCGGGGGAACUGAAACAUCUAAGUACCCCGAGGAAAAGAAAUCAACCGAGAUUCCCCCAGUAGCGGCGAGCGAACGGGGAGCAGCCCAGAGCCUGAAUCAGUGUGUGUGUUAGUGGAAGCGUCUGGAAAGGCGCGCGAUACAGGGUGACAGCCCCGUACACAAAAAUGCACAUGCUGUGAGCUCGAUGAGUAGGGCGGGACACGUGGUA
rnacentral:rRNA from 1 species